rnacentral:rRNA from 1 species
AGAGUUUGAUCAUGGCUCAGGACUAGCGCUGGCGGUGUGUCUUAGACAUGCAAGUCGAGCGGGACUCCUGCUAGUAGCAAUACCGGCUUGAGUCUAGCGGCGAACGGGUGAGUAAUACAAGGGCAACCUGCCCUGAGGCAGGGCAUAACUCGCCGAAAGGCGGGCUAAUUCCCUGUGUGCUGCGGACGAGGCAUCUCGUCUUCAGUAAAGACGCUGUAAGGUGUCGCCUCAGGAGGGGCUCUUGUCCCAUCAGCUUGAAGGCGGGGUAACGGCCCACCUUGGCUUCGACGGGUAGUCGGCGUGAGAGCGUGACCGGCCACAGGGGAACUGAGACACGGUCCCCACUCCUACGGGAGGCAGCAGUCUAGAAAUUUGGGCAAUGUGCGAAAGCACGACCCAGCGACACCGCGUGGAGGAUUAAGUCCUUCGGGAUGUAAACUCCUGUCAGGGGGAACGAGGCCGUUUCGGAGUAACUGCCGGAACGGUGACGGUACUCCCAAAGGAAGCCCCGGCUAACUACGUGCCAGCAGCCGCGGUAAUACGUAGGGGGCAAGCGCUGUCCGGAUUCACUGGGCGUAAAGGGUGUGUAGGCGGGCUGGUGUGUCGAUGGUGAAAGCUUCCGGCUCAACCGGGAAACUGCUGUCGAAACUACCGGUCUUGAGGGCAGGAGAGGAGACUGGAACUUCCGGUGUAGCGGUAAAAUGCGUAGAUAUCGGAAGGAACGUCAAUAGCGAAGGCAGGUCUCUGGAAUGCCCCUGACGCUGAGACACGAAAGCUAGGGGAGCAAACAGGAUUAGAUACCCUGGUAGUCCUAGCCGUAAACGAUGCACACUAGGCGUGGGGAUUUCGGUCCCUGUGCCGCAGCUAACGCGGUAAGUGUGCCGCCUGGGGACUACGGGCCGCAAGGUUGAAACUCAAAUGAAUUGACGG